rnacentral:rRNA from 1 species
GUGCCAGCAGCCGCGGUAAUACGGAGGGGGUUAGCGUUGUUCGGAAUGACUGGGCGUAAAGCGCGCGUAGGCGGAUCAGGAAGUUGGGGGUGAAAUCCCGGGGCUCAACCCCGGAAUGGCCUUCAAAACUCCUGGUCUUGAGUUCGAGAGAGGUGAGUGGAAUUCCGAGUGUAGAGGUGAAAUUCGUAGAUAUUCGGAGGAACACCAGUGGCGAAGGCGGCUCACUGGCUCGACACUGACGCUGAGGUGCGAAAGCGUGGGGAGCAAACAGGAUUAGAUACCCCCGUAGUCC